UACGUAGGGUCCGAGCGUUAAUCGGAAUUACUGGGCGUAAAGCGUGCGCAGGCGGUUAUGUAAGACAGUUGUGAAAUCCCCGGGCUCAACCUGGGAACUGCAUCUGUGACUGCAUAGCUAGAGUACGGUAGAGGGGGAUGGAAUUCCGCGUGUAGCAGUGAAAUGCGUAGAUAUGCGGAGGAACACCGAUGGCGAAGGCAAUCCCCUGGGCCUGCACUGACGCUCAUGCACGAAGCGUGGGGAGCAAACAGG
rnacentral:rRNA from 1 species